ACUCCUACGGGAGGCAGCAGUGGGAAUCUUGGACAAUGGGGGAAACCCUAGAUCCAGCCAUGCCGCGUGAGCGAUGAAGGCCCUCGGGUCGUAAAGCUCUGUCAGGGGGGACGAAACCUCCACGAGUUAAUAUCUCGUGGACUUGACGGUACCUCCAAAGGAAGCACCGGCUAACUCCGUGCCAGCAGCCGCGGUAAUACGGAGGGUGCGAGCGUUGUUCGGAAUUACUGGGCGUAAAGCGCGUGUAGGCGGCUUUUAAGUCUGGUGUGAAAUCCCGGGGCUCA
rnacentral:rRNA from 1 species